rfam:Danio rerio chromosome 15, GRCz11 reference primary assembly.
CAUGACAGGCCAUAUCACCCUGCUGCUCAAGACCCGUUACCCACUAAAGCUAAGCAGGGCUGAGCCUUGUUAGUAUCUGGAUGGGAGACCACAUGGAAAAAACUAAGUUGCUGUAGGAA